rnacentral:rRNA from 1 species
CGCCCCAUUGGGAUAGCUUCUAUACAUGCAGUCGAGCGACAGACGAGGAGCUUGCUCCUCUGACGUUAGCGGCGGACGGGUGAGUAACACGUGGAUAACCUACCUAUAAGACUGGGAUAACUUCGGGAAACCGGAGCUAAUACCGGAUAAUAUAUUGAACCGCAUGGUUCAAUAGUGAAAGACGGUUUUGCUGUCACUUAUAGAUGGAUCCGCGCCGCAUUAGCUAGUUGGUAAGGUAACGGCUUACCAAGGCAACGAUGCGUAGCCGACCUGAGAGGGUGAUCGGCCACACUGGAACUGAGACACGGUCCAGACUCCUACGGGAGGCAGCAGUAGGGAAUCUUCCGCAAUGGGCGAAAGCCUGACGGAGCAACGCCGCGUGAGUGAUGAAGGUCUUCGGAUCGUAAAACUCUGUUAUUAGGGAAGAACAAAUGUGUAAGUAACUAUGCACGUCUUGACGGUACCUAAUCAGAAAGCCACGGCUAACUACGUGCCAGCAGCCGCGGUAAUACGUAGGUGGCAAGCGUUAUCCGGAAUUAUUGGGCGUAAAGCGCGCGUAGGUGGUUUUUUAAGUCUGAUGUGAAAGCCCACGGCUCAACCGUGGAGGGUCAUUGGAAACUGGAAAACUUGAGUGCAGAAGAGGAAAGUGGAAUUCCAUGUGUAGCGGUGAAAUGCGCAGAUAUAUGGAAGGAACACCAGUGGCGAAAGGCGACUUUCUGGUCUGUAACUGACUCUGAUGUGCUAAAGCCCGGGAUCAAACAGGAUUACAUACCCUGGUAGUCCACUCGUCAACGAUUAAUGCUAACGGUCAGGGAGUUUCAGCCCUAAUGCCUCCACUUUACCCACUCACUCUCUCCGCCUUGGGAAGCACGACCCGCAGCU